GAGAGAGAACAGAGAGUAGAGCUCUCCACCGUCUCCUUCACACCGUUGAUGCGACUCCGACUGGCACGCCACCACUAUUCGACUUCUCCACUCGCCUGUCUUGCUAUCGGCUCCACGGUCCUGACAUUAGCUUUUCCCCCAAUUUCAAACCCUAGCUUUUAAAUCCUACAGAUCUAGAAAUCCCUCUUCUUCUUCUUCUUCUUCUUCUUCUUCUUCUUCUCUCUCUCUCUGGUCUAACUCCAAAGAGUCCGGUUUGGACGAGGUCGGCCGGAUAGACGACGAGCAGAAUGCCGUUGCGAAGAGCAAAGUUUUGAGUCUGAUUCUGAUCACCGGCGAGAAAGAUAGCAAGCCGGUAAUGUAUCCUCCGCCGAAGCUCGUCCAGUUCUUGAUUUAUUCUCCUUGUCGCACCUCACUCCUCCACUCCACUGUAGUUCUCGAACUUAACAAAACCCUAAAAGUUAUCCACCCACACUCUUACCUCUGCUUCCAUUCUCUGCUCCCCCGACUGGUAUGAGCUUCGGAGAUUGAAGUACCUUCUAAAUUUUGUUUUGGCCAUUUCUCCUUUUGCUUAUAAGCCAAAGUCAGAAAAACACGGGUAGCGAUUAAAUGAUAUUUUGAAAAUACCAUUAGGUGCCCUCGAAAGUUUUGACAAAUUACCUACCCUUACCUUCUCCUUUCGACCUCAAAACAGGUCUCCCUGUUAUCUCUCUCGAUGCUCUCCGGACAACGUCAUUCCUCCGACGCCUCCGACGUUGCUCUCGCCUGUGGCUACGAGUUUGGUAAGGAGGUUUUAAUUUGAUGAGUUUGAAUUCGUUUGUCUAUUUCACAUUCCUUCUGCAAUAAUGAGACUUUCAUAUUGGGUAAUUUGGUGUCGUUGAAUCUAUGUAUAUGAAAAUAAGGAUCUCUUUGAAAUCGGGUCGUUGGUUCAAAAUCCUGAUGUAGGUUGGUUCAAUUUACUUUUUGGUUAAUUAUCUAUUGAUGUUUGUUUACAUAGUUGAAUUGGGUAUAAAUAGUGGAAGCGAUAGAAUUGAGUUUUUGGUUGGGAGGAUCACUGGAUAAGAAUUGGGGCUGAUAUAUGCAUCUAGCUAAAUCCCACUCCAUAGUUGUUCGAAUUUUCUAUUCAGUCUUAGAAGAAGAGAGAAAUAUAGGCUAUUUUUUACUCAUACCCAUUUCCCCUAAAUUCUCUCUGUCUCUGCUUAUAGUUUAGUAGCAUUUGAUACAAGACUUACCUACUUUGAUAAAUAAAAUUACAUGUGCAAGCUUCUCAUGGAACCAUGGAUGUUUGUUUUUCCACCUCUUGUUGAUGUGAUUAUAAUUUCUUACUAAUCAAGUGUGUAGUUUCUGGCUUCUUCUGCAAUAUGCCUUUGUGGCAUUGCUUUCCCUAAUCUUAUGUUGACAGAUCAUUUAUUUGAAUAGCCAAACAUGAAUUCACAUGAUGUAGAUUAGCUGUAGCAUAAAAGAGAGAUUUACGAACUGAAUUGCUCUGCAAAUCCAAUGCACAAAAUACCAUGUGCAGACUGGUAGUCUCUACAAGGAUGUGAGUAGUAAUAUGUAAGGCCUAUUCUGGUUUGGUUGAGGCAGUGGUGAUUGUAUAUUUUUCACCGUGAUUGUAUAUUUGAUGCCAGAGCUUGCGUACGAGGGCAAGUCAGCAGGAGAACAAGGCUAAAUUACAAGCAAUCCAAGGGAAGGUUUGCGGUGAGAGCCUCUGUGAAAGACAUAGCCUUUGACCAGUUUACCGUUUUGUGGAGGCGUGGUCUGCAAGCUGACAUUGAAAAGCUAGCUAAUGCUUUUGGGCUGACUCUUGGUCCCAGAGAGCAACUGUUUUACAUGCAUCAAUGGCAGCCUAGGUGGUAGUGUAUGAGGCCUGGUGUCUCAGGACAAAGAGAGGCAUCCUUUAUCUCAAUGACAGUUCCAGAAAGGUAAAGUCGAGACACGUAUCGUAUGGAGAGAGGAAGACCAGAUCAUUAGUGGCAGACUAGUAUAAACAUUAGUUACGCUAGUAGACAUAAAUUAUCCCCUUUAGCUAGGAAUUAUGGCUGCUAGUUCUACCAUGCAAAGAGUUUAUGGAUUAGAUAGGAAUGCUUCAUAUCACAGUUACAAGACCUUUGCUAUGAGUUUAU